rnacentral:lncRNA from 1 species
AUUUGAGAUUGUCAAUAUUGAGAUCGAGCAACAUUUUUUUUAAUUGAAAAUUGUAGUUGCUAUUAGUUUGAUAAAGUUAUAUGAAAUGAUACAGACUGAUCUUAAACAUAGAAAUGUAUUUUUCGAGUAAAUCGAUUAUUAUAGAAGAACAUUUGCCCUAGAUGAUGUGAGACCUUUGUUGACAAAGGAAAGAUUAAUGAAAGACCUAUUUUUCCUUUACAAAUGUGAAUUGGAGUGAAAAGUGACUGCAAUGUUAGAAAUGAUAGCUGUUAUUUAUUUUUGGUCUGAAUAAGAGUUUCUAAUAGUGGUUUCCAAACAUAAGUUGUACGGAGAAUGAAGUUUAUGGAAAGGGUAGUGAAUAAUGAUUCGUGCGAAUGUAAUGAAUACCGAACGGCUUUUGAAAAAUUGCAGGUCAUUAAUAGAAACAUCAUAGAGAUUGGAUGACCAUAAUUGCGUCCAUUUUGAGAAGAAGAGUUGACAUUAACCGAGCUAGAAUAUAAAAUGCAUGUUUCGUUUGUCAUUGAAACCAUAUGUUGUCUCAGAAAAAAAAAAGUUAAAAACGCCCCCCCCCCCCAAAAAAAAAAAAAACGAAAUUGAAGAGCAUCGAUGACCUGCUAUUCCGAAAGGUUAUUUCUUAUACAGCUAAAAUGAUUUAUUCCUAAAUUUUUAUAAAAGCUGUAGCCACCAUAUUUGUCUGAUUACAAUUGUUUUCCUUACAUCAUAGUUACAGCAACAAUAGAUCUUGUUUAUUGUCGAUUCGUUUUCCUUAGAACACCGUUGAAGCAACCAGAAAAUUGUUUCGAUUUAUAUUGAUUUUCCUCGAACCAUCGUUGGGGCAACCAUGAAAGAUCUUAUUCUAUCUUUUUUGUUUCCAUAAACCAUCUUUAUUGUAGCCAUAAAACUUUAUUGAAUUCCAUCAUUUGAUCAUAAAUCAUAGAGCUCAACCAUUUGACUUGUUUGAUUUCAAUCAAAUUCAAUUUGAAGUGUAUUUUUUUUAUGUUUGAAGUAUACUUUUGUAGUAAAAUAGUGGUAACAAGAAACAAAUCUGUAAUGGGUGUGCAUUAGCUAACAGGCCGUUUAAAAUUCAAAUUGUUUCUAUCUUGUACUGUAUUUCAGUGUUUAUCCUGAACUAUAAUAAACAGUUUUUUUUCCGACGUAGUCGGUAUAGUUUCGGUUUGUGCCCUUUGAACUUAAGGACGCUUAACUAUGGCAACACAACACGCAUGCUCGAAAAUCCUUUCUGUGAUUUGACAAAACGUAUUGUUUUAAAUUUAAUUUUAGUUUCUUGUGUACAAUUUGGAAAUUAGUAUGGCGUUCGUUGUCACUGGACUAGUAUAUAUUUGUUUAGGGGCCAGCUGAAGGACGCC